GACGAACGCUGGCGGCGUGCUUAACACAUACAAGUCGAACGGACAGGCCCUGCUUUUGUGGGGUGCUCGUGUGGCGAACGGGUGAGUAACACGUGAGUAACCUGCCCUUGACUUUGGGAUAACUUCAGGAAACUGGGGCUAAUAUAGGAUAGGAGCUCCUGCUCCAUGGUGGGGGUUGGUAAGUUUCGGCGGUUGGGGCUGGACUCGCGGGUUAUCCGCUUGUUUGUGGGGUAGUGGCUUACAAAGGCUUUGAAGGGUAGCCGGCCUGAGAGGGUGACCGGCCACAUUGGGACUGAGAUAGGGCCCAGACUCCUACGGGAGGCAGCAGUGGGGAAUAUUGCACAAUGGGCGGAAGCCUGAUGCAGCAACGCCGCGUGCGGGAUGACGGCCUUCGGGUUGUAAACCGCUUUCGCCUGUGACGAAGCGUUAGUGACGGUAAUGGGUAAAGAAGCACCGGCUAACUACGUG
rnacentral:rRNA from 1 species